AUUAAACAUUUAGGCUGUCAACUGUACAAAUACCCAUUUGCUGCUGACAUGCUCCUUCUUGCCUUUACCUAAUAUCUUCUAUUUGUGUUAUUGGAUUCUACCCCUCCUGUAAUUUAUCAUUAUUGUAUUCAUUUUAUAAACAAUCCAUUUACAGUGCGGGGUGCAGUUGUGUCCAAUAUUUGCAAUAUGCAGUCAUUAUUGCAGUGGUUUUUUUUGUUUGUUUUUUUUAAAUUCUUUAUUUUUGCAGGUGAUGGCUGACAAUGCAGUUUAAAAAAUAACAAAUGCAAGAUCUGAC